UCCUACAGUUACCUGCGAUGCUAGCUUGCGUGGUACAGAAUAAACCUCCUCGAUACAGGCAGCACAGAGGUUGUCCGCAUUGACAAUAAACGCCACAGCGGUACAUUGAGGUCGUGUCGGUCAAUAGGAGAGUUUUGUUAGGAUAAAUAUAGAGCAAGCUAAAUAAUAGUACAAAAUAAAAUACAAUUAUUGUGUCCUGUCAGGUCUUAGAGGACGACUCGGAACUAGCUAGCUAGCUAGCUAGCCAGUGCCAGCUAACAUAGCUAGACGCUAACUGUAACUGAACCCGGUGCUAAACCGCAAGUGUGAAUCAACUUUAGUCCAUUAGCGAGAUUAAACGGAGAGGAACGGAUACUGUAAAUUGCACAACGAACUAGGUGACGUUGAAGAGCGGCGAUGGACUUCGUUGCUGGAUGCAUCGGAGGUGCUGCUGGUGUCUUGGUUGGACACCCAUUUGACACAGUUAAGGUGAGACUGCAGGUCCAGAGUGUUGACAAGCCUCUGUACCGUGGGACCUAUCACUGUUUCCAGUCCAUCAUACGGCAGGAGACGGUAUUUGGUUUGUACAAAGGCAUCGGAUCCCCCAUGAUGGGCCUUACAUUCAUCAAUGCUAUAGUGUUUGGUGUUCAGGGAAACACCAUGCGGUUCCUGGGACAGGACACCCCCAUGAACCAGUUCCUUGCUGGUGCAGCAGCAGGUGCCAUCCAGUGUGUCAUCUGCUGCCCUAUGGAGCUGGCUAAAACCCGCAUGCAAAUGCAGGGUACUGGGGAGAAGAAGUCUUCUAGGAAGUUGUACAAGAAUUCCCUGGACUGCUUGGCACGCAUCUACAAUCGGGAGGGUCUGCGGGGCGUAAACAGAGGCAUGGUCACGACAUUAAUCCGUGAGACACCUGGCUUUGGAGUGUAUUUCCUGGCCUAUGAUGUAAUGACACGCAGCCUUGGCUGUGAGCCGGAUGACCGCUACAUGAUCCCCAAACUGCUGUUUGCAGGGGGCAUGGCUGGCAUUGCCUCCUGGCUUUCCACCUACCCUGUGGAUGUGAUCAAAUCGCGGCUGCAGGCAGACGGGGUGGGUGGAGUCAACCAGUACAGCGGCAUCGCUGACUGUGUGCGACAGAGUAUCAGGAGAGAGGGCUACAUGGUGUUCACACGAGGCCUCACCUCCACGCUGCUACGGGCGUUCCCUGUGAAUGCAACUACCUUUGCUACCGUCACCCUUAUCCUCAUGUACGCCCGGGGGGUGGAGGAGGGGCCUAAAGACUGUGAGCAGGCUCAGCCAAGCCACCACACACAGAUAAAGCAGCAGGCCCAACCCUCCAGCCUGUGACAGCACAGAGGUCUCAACCUGGGCACUUUACAGGACCAUGGAUUAUAUAAACAUACAAACACUUUAUAAAUGUCUGACUCAGUCUCACACCAGACCCCCCAUUUCGAGAAGAAAAAAAACCUGGUUUAUAUAAACACGUGUUUUUACUUUCAUGUCACAAAGGCAACUAUAUUUAUUUUUAGCUAUAAUUUAAGUUUUAGGUUUGCCACUGAAGAUGCAGACUUGUACAAGGGGAUGGUGUUACCUAUGAUAAGAUGGAGAAAAUGGAGCUAUGAGAUUCAUGAAAGUUUUUCUGUGAGAAUGAUCUUGUGUGACACUGAUUAUGACUUGUUACUGAGCCACAAAACUAAGGGUGUGGCUACAUGGUGUGUACAGUGUAGACACUGAAGGUUGAUAUCUGUCUUGAAAUGUGCAGUGUUUCGCUGCACCUGUAUAUAUCAUUGGUUUUAGUUCUGUUUUUAAAUGUCAAUUGGAGACAUUUCCCUGCCUUAUAAUAUGAAUUUUUUUAUUUUGUUUAAGGAAGCUGAAGCACCUGUUUGUAGCUGAACUGUAUCCUCUGAGGAGCCAAGCAAGAGGGCGAUGGAAUGUAGCAUUUGAUAAGUACAAAGAACUUAUCAUUUGUGUCUGCUUUCUAACCAAAUAACAUAUUGCAGCUAUAAUCUAAUCCUAACUAAAGCACUAUUACUCCAUGCAGCACAUGUCAGUACAGAAAUCCACUGGUCUAAAGGGCUCUUCCGGGUCUGAAUGUGUAGUGGGUCUGCGUGUGAAUCAGGAUGGUAGGUGGUGUUAGGUCUUGUUUGGUCUGUUUAGCAUGUUGUGUUUUUUUACCAAAUAAUGUGAAGUGUUAUCAUUGUAACUGUACUACUGUAAUAAAGGCCUGAUCCAGAAGUGGAACAUGGCGCUACGUGUGGGUGUGGCACCACACUAGUUCCACUAUUUUUGUAAAUUUUAGUUUUAAAAUAGCUUUUAAAACUGCACAUUAUAUGAUUAUUGUAGGGUCAGAAAUGCAUGCUAGGUGGUCUCUCUUUAAAGUUUUAGAAAAAGUUAAAACUGGGAGGGUCAGCAUUUAGGAUGGCCCUCAUUCCUUUUUCUCUCCCACAGACAGCACUUUUUUUUUUAACUGCCUAGAUACGCCUUACCCACAUUUCUGUUUGGAAGUCUUUAAUUAGUGAUGCCACUAAUUGAGAAUGCCAGCCCAGUUUAUCAUAUUUGCUGCCCAUAGGUGCUGCCUGAGCAAGCACAGCCCACUCAGUGGCUUGUUUUGAAUUUGGUUGACCAAUAACAACAGAGUGGGCCAGCUGACCAAUCAGAGCAGACUGUAGCUCAGACUGUAGGCCUGGCAAGCUUGAUUCCUUUUAAGGAUUCAGGUUAUUCUGAGUCACUCACUAAACUGAUCCGGGUUGUGCGAGUCACUUGUCAGUAUUGCUAUUUUGCAAUGUGUCUGACUGUCUGCUCGAUCUAAUUGCAUUUAAACAUACUACAUUUAUACAUCAAAACCUACAGUAGGCCUAGCUAGGCUAUGUGCAGAACAUUGUAUGUUAUUUCAGAAGUGAAAGAAUUGGUUUUGUUGUGGUUUUCAAAAACCCUCAGCUCGAGGAGAGAAUUCACUCACUCGUCUGCUACAGAUCCACUUAUAGCCAGCUGAUUUGUGCGAUUGACUGACUUGCGCGAAAACUCACGAAUCAUCAACAACUCGCUAGUCAUCGAAGACUCAUGAGUUCUUGAGUUAGUCCCAUGGUCUGCGAGCUUGCAAUGUUUCCGGCUCUGAGUCUGCAGGUCGGGAAGUUCCUAUAACCUGUCUUGGACUGUCUCUCUGCUCACUCAGUCACUUGAGUUGACUUGUGGAGUUGUCGUUGCCUACGAAAUUGUGUAAAUGGAGAAGAUGGUCUGAUAUUUGCCCAACGGGCUUAUUCUAUCACAUUUCCAUGUGGGGAAGAUUUAGUCUGCUUUCAUGUACGGCAGCUCAGCACAAGCCAAACAAGUGAUUACAUUGCCAUAGUCAGUAAUGGAGAGAUCCAGACAGCUACAUCAGUGAAUGAGGACUCGAAAUGCACUCUGCAAAUCAAAGAUCUCACAGCGGAAGAUGUUGGACGUCAUCGCUGCCAACAAAGGCCAGAUGUCUUCUCUCAUCACAAUACCAGCCCAGAGUUAAAGCUCAUGCCUGGCAAAACCGUGUCACUGCAGUGCAUUUUGCAGAGCACAGCUCCACCAGGUCAACCUGACGUGGGUGGAUGAAGCCGGCACUGAGAUACACGAGGACUCACAACAUCAGAUAAAACAGGAGUCUUUGUGUGCUAUAACUCUGACUCUCACCCUUCAAAGACCUGAAAACAAGAAGUUUAGGAGCCAGGCGACUGUAGGUGAACAAGUCCAGACUUCAGUGGAGUUGCGGGUCAGAGUCCCAGCUCUUAAAGGGAGGGGAAGAGGAUUCAUCAUAGACCUAGAACCCGAAAAUCAAGGCAGCCAGGUGCCAGAUGAGUCUUGUAACACGGCCAGUACCAACAAUGUUAUGAAUGCAGACGAUGUGAUCUAAGCUGACAUUAUCUUCCCUGCUGGCCCUGACAGAGUGUGGGUUGAUGAGUGCGAGUCCACUGAAUACGCCAGUGUCCGAUACAAAUAGUCUGCUGUCCUAACUACAAAUUGUAGUAUAUCUUUUCUUUGUUUGUGAGCUCCAACUGUGCUACGGCCAUUUGUUUUAAUACUGUGAAUUGCUCCAUACCAUACCCUGUACUAUAUACUACUGUUAUUAACAGAUAUUUGGCCUUUUGACUCAGCCAUUUUGCAUUAGAAAAAUGUUAAAUUGAUUUAAUUAGUCUACCUCAAUAUGUUUGACUUCUCUUUUUAAAUAUGGUAAUUCAUUCAGCAAUUCCCAAUUUUUUUUUUAUCAGAGGAUGUAUUCACAAAACCUACAUUCAU